UGCAGGUCCUCCACCUUCCUGCAGAGGAGAAAGGGGGCUGAGCAGGCUUCACCCAGAGGGGUCCGUCCGUGCUCCUGCUCAGUCGUGUCUGACUCUUUGCGACCCCCUGGACUGUAGCCCACCAGGCUCCUCUGUCCAUGGGAUUCUUCAGGCAAGAAUUCUGAAGUGGGUUGUCAUUUCCUUCUCCAGGGGAUCUUCCCGACUCAGGCACUGAACCUGUGUUUCCUGCAUUGCAGGUGGAUUCUUUACCCGCUGAGCCAUCGGGGAAGCCCAUAAGGGACCCCUACCCAGAGGGGUAGGCUUUGCCAAGUCAACAAUGGCAGAGAGAGCCAAGGCCACAAGAAGCCUCGAGUCCACAUUCAGAGUACCCAGAAGCUCGGAGACAGAGAGGCUCCUGGGCCUGAGGAGAACCUGGCCCUCGUGGGCUCUGAGCCCCGCCAGGUGUUCCAGGACCAAGUCAGCCCAGAGACCCCACACGGAGGGAACACAAACCCCAAUCGCCACCCUGGCAGGUCACAAAGAGCCAGCAGCACCACUAACAAGACUAGUGACCUCAGCUGCUGAGCCUCAGUUUCCUGACACGGGAAAUGGAAAUGAAGCUUCAGGACACAGGCUGCACGCUCCACUGGCAGGACCUGCCUGGAGCAGAGG